UAUUUUAUUAGUAUAAUAGUACAUUUAACUUCCAAUUAAAAAGUUUUUUAAAAAUAAAAUAA
rnacentral:tRNA from 1 species